GACGAACGUAUGCUGGUGUGCAUACGCGAGUGUGGACUUGUGCUCUCUUAUAAGUAAUAAUUAGGAAAUUUAUUCCUAAUAUGCAGCAGGGGAAAUCAAGCCGUUGUUUUCUUUUUCAAUUUCAAAAAGAAAACAAAUUAGAUGCAGAUCCCUGGUUUGGAUCUGGCAUGAAUGAGCAGAGGAACAUGAUGGAGAAAAUACAGUGAAGCCGGAGGAUCUUCCCCUAUCAUGCUGCAUUAUUGAAGCUGCAAUAACAAGAAGGAAUGCGAGACUCUUGAGACUUUUGGCACCUUUUAAUAAAUAACCUCUUUGUACCACAGCCUAGGAUUACAAAACAAAUGGGAACAAUAAGCCAAGUUUGAGGGACAAAGGCAACAACAAAGCUCAUGCUAAUGCAACAACAGAUGGCUCCACUGGAGUAAGCAACCAAGCCUUUAAGGCAACGUCAGGUGUUGUUGGUGAACAGAAAGUUUUUCAGAUUAAAAACACAAUUUUUGAAAAGAAGCACACAGUUGACUGGCAAGAGGAAACAAACAUGCAUCCAACUUUCUAUUAGCAGCUCCUUCCAUACCACAUAGGAACAGAUGCCUCUGUUUAGACUGAAUUCCGUUUUGUCUAAAUACAAGAGAUAAA